AUUGAACGCUGGCGGUAGGCCUAACACAUGCAAGUCGAACGGCAGCACAGUAAGAGCUUGCUCUUACGGGUGGCGAGUGGCGGACGGGUGAGGAAUACAUCGGAAUCUACUUUUUCGUGGGGGAUAACGUAGGGAAACUUACGCUAAUACCUCAUACGACCUACGGGUGAAAUCAGGGGAUCUUCGGACCUUGCGCGAUUGAAUGAGCCGAUGUCGGAUUAGCUAGUUGGCGGGGUAAAGGCCCACCAAGGCGACGAUCCGUAGCUGGUCUGAGAGGAUGAUCAGCCACACUGGAACUGAGACACGGUCCAGACUCCUACGGGAGGCAGCAGUGGGGAAUAUUGGACAAUGGGCGCAAGCCUGAUCCAGCCAUACCGCGUGGGUGAAGAAGGCCUUCGGGUUGUAAAGCCCUUUUGUUGGGAAAGAAAAGCAGCAGGUUAAUACCCCGCUGUUAUGACGGUACCCAAAGAAUAAGCACCGGCUAACUUCGUG
rnacentral:rRNA from 1 species